rnacentral:rRNA from 1 species
GACGAACGCUGGCGGCGUGCUUAACACAUGCAAGUCGAACGAAGUGGCGAACGGGUGAGUAAUACGUGGGUAACCUGCCCUCCUUUUUGGGAUACGCCUUGGAACCGGGGUCUAUUACCGAAUAAAGGGGGAUGGGCUCGCGGCCUCUCAGCUUGUUGGUGGGGUGGUGGCCUGACAAGGCGGUGACGGUUAGCCGGCCUGAGAGGGUGAACGGCAACAUUGGGACGGAGAUACGGCCCAGACGACGACGGGAGGGAGCAGUGGGGGAUAUUGCAGAAGGGGUGACAGCCUGAUGCAGCGACGCCGCGGGGGGGAUGAAGGUUUUCGGGUUGUAAACCUCUGGCGGAAGGGAGCGGGUAGGUGGAGAAGAAGCGCCGGCUAACUACGUGCCAGCAGCCGCGGUAAUAC